rnacentral:rRNA from 1 species
GCUUACGGCCAUACCAGCCUGGGUACGCCCGAUCUCGUCUGAUCUCGGAAGCGAAGCAGAGUCGGGACUUGUUAGUACUUGGAUGGGAGACCGCCUGGGAAUACCAGGUGCUGUAAGCA